rnacentral:rRNA from 1 species
CGCUGGCGGCGCGCUUAACACAUGCAAGUCGUGCGGUGUGGAAGGCAAGUCUUACGACAAGCCUUCGACACAGCGGCGAACGGGUGAGUAACACGUGAGUAGCUGUCCUAAGGAGGGGGAUAACGCCUGGAAACGGGUGCUAAUACCCCAUAUGCCUCGCAAGAGGUGAAAGUGUACUCGUUACAGCCUUAGGGUGUGCUCGCGGCCUAUCAGCUAGUUGGUGAGGUAACGGCUCACCAAGGCUAAGACGGGUAGCCGGCCUGAGAGGGUGUACGGCCACACUGGAAUUGAGAUACGGUCCAGA